ensembl:lncRNA
AGAAGGCCCUGAAACCCGGGGUGGGCAAGCUUUUCUGCAAAGAACCAGGCAAACAAGCCCUUCUCACCAGGCCUUGGACAGCGGCUCGUGCCAAUUCUGGCCUCAAAUGCCAGCCAGCUUUGGAAAUUAGACUGGUCUUCUGCAAGCCCUGGCGGGGAGUACGAGCGCUGGUUUGUGAGGUGUGGAAAGCCAAUCUGCUUAUGGCACAAGACUUCCGGAUAACCGCAGCCAAGUGCAGAGAGGGAAAAACAGCCUCCAAGGUAACCAGGGUGUAGCCAAGAAAGAACAAGGCUGCCACCCAACCUUGACUCUGCCUCCCCCGGGCUGGCCAGGCCCCUGAGGGGACAUAAGGAGACGUGGUCCGGGCACAGGACCUGUGAGAUUGGAGACUGAAACUGGCCUUUUGAGAGAACAGGACCAAAGCCAGAAACUCCCAGAGACACUCGAGAUGGCUCGUUUUCCCAGAGGGAGGCCCAUGUCACCUCCUGAGCCACCGCGAGCUGCUGUUAUUGUCACAUUUCAGAAAUGCAUGGAAA